GUUGCCUACUCCCCGCUCCUUGGAGUUUUUAUUUUUUUUCCUCUCCCCACGUCGGUGUUUGUCCUCUUUGCAUCACUGCUGCGGGGGUGGAGCUGGGAGACUUGCUGAUUCCUCCGCACAGUAGGCGGGAUCGUGGCGCCUUCCCGCUCUUGACUUCCAAAUCUUGGACGCCUCAUGCCUUUUCUGGGCUCACGGACGUUUCCUCAAGCUUCCCUCACUAGCCUCCUUAACCAUGCAUUUGACUUGAACAGGCUAAGCGCAGGGCCUGGAAAUCUCCAGUCCACGCACCGGUGUGCGAGCUCUUGCACCUGAACCUGGCACUCGACCUCACCUCCUCCAGUGCGGGUUUCUUCCUCCUCACCGAGCUCAUCCUGGUGCAGCUAGUCUGGCAAAUUUUAUUCCCGAGGCAAAUUUUCCCGGGACAAACAUUUCUCCCCGCCCGCUCCUCCCCACUCCCCAUCUGCAGAGGAAGAGCGGUAUUUGAGAAGUACUUCAAUUCAUGGAAAGCAGCUACUUCCUUCACUUACUAGCUGGACACAGUUUGAGGAUCGCUGAGUAAAGGUAAUUGGAAUCUGGAAUGCUUGGGGACCACCACUGGACUAAGUCAAAUGAAGAAGUUAGAGAAUCAAAUCAAGUUUAACCUACUCUCCUAAAAGCAAGGAAGCCCAAAG